rnacentral:tRNA from 1 species
AAUAAGAUAAGCUAAAUAAGCUAUUGGGCCCAUACCCCAACAAUGACUACAUAUCUCUUAUUA